rnacentral:tRNA from 1 species
GCUUUCGUGGUGUAGUGGUCAACACGCUCGGCGCAUAUUUGAAAGGUCUAUGGUUCGAGUCCCAGCGAGCGCA